rnacentral:rRNA from 1 species
CUACGGGGCGCUCCAGUGGGGAAUAUUGGACAAUGGGGGAAACCCUGAUCCAGCAAUGCCGCGUGUGUGAAGAAGGCCUGCGGGUUGUAAAGCACUUUCGGUUGGGAGGACUGCUUCUAGCACUAAUAUUGUUGGAAGUUGACGUUACCUUCAGAAGAAGCACCGGCUAACUCCGUGCCAGCAGCCGCGGUUAUACGGAGGGUGCAAGCGUUAAUCGGAAUUACUGGGCGUAAAGCGCGCGUAGGCGGCUAGAUAGUCGGGUGUGAAAGCCCCGGGCUUAACCUGGGAACUGCAUCCGAUACUGUCUAGCUCGAGUACAGGAGAGGAGAGUGGAAUUCCACAUGUAGCGGUGAAAUGCGUAGAUAUGUGGAGGAACACCAAUGGCGAAGGCAGCUCUCUGGCCUGAUACUGACGCUGAAGUGCGAAAGCGUGGGGAGCAAACAGGAUUAGAUACCCGAGUAGUC